AUGGGAUUAGCUAGUAGGUGGGGUAACGGCUCACCUAGGCGACGAUCCCUAGCUGGUCUGAGAGGAUGACCAGCCACACUGGAACUGAGACACGGUCCAGACUCCUACGGGAGGCAGCAGUGGGGAAUAUUGCACAAUGGGCGCAAGCCUGAUGCAGCCAUGCCGCGUGUAUGAAGAAGGCCUUCGGGUUGUAAAGUACUUUCAGCGGGGAGGAAGGGAGAGUGGUAAUAGCCAUUUUCAAGACGUACCCGCAGA
rnacentral:rRNA from 1 species